rnacentral:tRNA from 2 species
GCUUGGAUGGCUCAGUUGGUUAGAGCGCAGGUCUCAUACGUGAGUAUGACCGCUUUCGGCGGGGAAUCCUGAGGUCGUGAGUUCGAUCCUCACUCCGAGCA